CUUGAACUUUAUAAGAGGUCCAGCCUGCCCAGUGACUCUGUUCAACGGCCGCGGUAUCCUAACCGUGCGAAGGUAGCGUAAUCACUUGUUCUUUAAAUGUGGACUAGUAUGAAUGGCACUACGAGGGUUAUACUGUCUCCUUUUUCUAAUCAGUGAAACUAAUUUUCCCGUGAAGAAGCGGGAAUAUAACUAUAAGACGAGAAGACCCUAUGGAGCUUUAAACAACCCAGCAAUUACUUCUAAAAUUUUAAAUUUCAAAAUAUUCAUUCUUUAAGUAAUAUGUCUGCAAGUUUUUGGUUGGGGUGACCAUGGAGAAUAACAUAACCUCCAUAUUGAAUGAAUUCCCUUCUAAGCUGAAAAUCACCAAUUGAAGCAUCAACACACUGACAUCUAUUGACCCA
rnacentral:rRNA from 1 species